CAUUCAAAUGCUUCCCUCCCCUCGCCAUACACCGUUUCAUUCGUUUCUUCCAUUGCUCGAGGCAGUGCUGGAAGUCUGUUUUCGUAAGACCAUUCAGGAGUUCCGCCGAUUUUUGUUUCACCUCUUCCAUCGACUCAAACCGGAUUCCUUUUAAGGCAGACUUUAUCUUCGGAAACAAGUAAAAGUCGCAGGGUGCCAAGUCGGGUGAAUAAGACGCGUGUUCGAGUACUGGAGUGCUUUAAGCGGCCAAAUAACGCUUCAAGCUUUAUCCUGGUGCAAGAUCCACGACUUGUUUUUCCACAAUAUCGACCGUUUCUUACGAACUCAUUCACGCAAUGUUGCCAAAACUGUCAAAUAGUAAUGUUGGUUUACAGUUUGACCCUCUGGAACCCAUUCAGUCAUCACGAUGCCGUUGAGAUUGAAGAAAACGGUUAAUUUAGAUUACGACUGAAUUGGAUUCCGGUGCACUCUCGACCUUCACAAAAUAAUUUAUGCCACUUAAAAAAACACGCGCCCGAGAUAGGAAAUCCUGACUAUAGGCCUCUUUUAACAACUUAUAGCACUCAGUUGGAGUUUUUUUUAGUUUAACGAGAAAAUUUUACGUUUAUCCGUUGCUCAUGUUUUUCGUCACA